UACAGAGGUCUCAAGCGUUGUUCGGAUUCAUUGGGCGUAAAGGGUGCGUAGGUGGCGCGCUAAGUCAGGUGUGAAAUUUCGGAGCUUAACUCCGAAACUGCAUUUGAUACUGGCGUGCUUGAGGACUGGAGAGGAGACUGGAAUUCAUGGUGUAGCAGUGAAAUGCGUAGAGAUCAUGAGGAAGACCAGUGGCGAAGGCGGGUCUCUGGGCCAUUACUGACGCUGAGGAGCGAAAGCGUGGGGAGCGAACAGG
rnacentral:rRNA from 1 species